UACGUAGGUGGCAAGCGUUGUCCGGAAUUAUUGGGCGUAAAGCGCGCGCAGGCGGUCCUUUAAGUCUGAUGUGAAAGCCCACGGCUCAACCGUGGAGGGUCAUUGGAAACUGGGGGACUUGAGUAUAGUUGCUGUGGGCGGAAUAUGACAUGUAGUGGUGAAAUACUUAGAGAUGUCAUAGAACACCGAUUGCGAAGGCAGCUCACAAAACUAUAACUGACACUGAGGCUCGAAAGUGCGGGGAUCAAACAGG
rnacentral:rRNA from 1 species